UACGUAGGGUGCGAGCGUUAAUCGGAAUUACUGGACGUAAAGCGUGCGCAGGCGGCGCGUUAAGACAGGUGUGAAAGCCCCGAGCUUAACUUGGGAAUUGCGCUUGUGACUGGCGUGCUGGAGUGUGGCAGAGGGAGGUGGAAUUCCACGUGUAGCAGUGAAAUGCGUAGAGAUGUGGAGGAACACCGAUGGCGAAGGCAGCCUCCUGGGCCAGCACUGACGCUCAUGCACGAAAGCAUGGGGAGCAAACAGG
rnacentral:rRNA from 1 species